AGAGUUUGAUCCUGGCUCAGAACGAACGCUGGCGGCGUGCCUAACACAUGCAAGUCGAACGUGAUUGGAAGCUUGCUUCCAUGAAAGUGGCGCACGGGUGAGUAACGCGUAGAUAAUCUACCUGAUGAUCCGGGAUAACACUUCGAAAGGGGUGCUAAUACCUGAUAAGCCCACGGGGUCUUCGGACUCUGCGGGAAAAGGGGGGGACCUUCGGGCCUUCCGUCAUCAGAUGAGUCUGCGUACCAUUAGCUAGUUGGUAGGGUAAAGGCCUACCAAGGCGACGAUGGUUAGCUGGUCUGAGAGGAUGAUCAGCCACACUGGAACUGAGACACGGUCCAGACUCCUACGGGAGGCAGCAGUGGGGAAUUUUGCGCAAUGGGGGAAACCCUGACGCAGCAACGCCGCGUGAGUGAUGAAGGCCCUUGGGUCGUAAAGCUCUGACAGAGGGAAAGAAGUGUAGAGUGGCUAAUAUCCACAUUACUUGACGGUACCCUCAAAGGAAGCACCGGCUAACUCCGUGCCAGCAGCCGCGGUAAUACAGAGGGUGCAAGCGUUAUCCGGAAUCAUUGGGCGUAAAGGGUUCGUAGGUGGAGUGUUAAGUUGGGUGUUAAAUUUUGCAGCUCAACUGCAAAAAUGUGCCCAAAACUGGCAAUCUAGAGUGCUACAGAGGUACGUGGAGUUCUGUAUGUAGGGGUUAAAUCCGUAGAUAUACAGAGGAACACCAAAAGCGAAGGCAGCGUACUGGGUAGCAACUGACACUCAAGAACGAAAGCGUGGGGAGCGAACGGGAUUAGAUACCCUGGUAGUCC
rnacentral:rRNA from 1 species